AACAGGAUUAGAUACCCUGGUAGUCCACGCCGUAAACGAUGUCGACUUGGAGGUUGUGCCCUUGAGGCGUGGCUUCCGGAGCUAACGCGUUAAGUCGACCGCCUGGGGAGUACGGCCGCAAGGUUAAAACUCAAAUGAAUUGACGGGGGCCCGCACAAGCGGUGGAGCAUGUGGUUUAAUUCGAUGCAACGCGAAGAACCUUACCUACUCUUGACAUCCAGAGAACUUUCCAGAGAUGGAUUGGUGCCUUCGGGAACUCUGAGACAGGUGCUGCAUGGCUGUCGUCAGCUCGUGUUGUGAAAUGUUGGGUUAAGUCCCGCAACGAGCGCAACCCUUAUCCUUUGUUGCCAGCGGUUAGGCCGGGAACUCAAAGGAGACUGCCAGUGAUAAACUGGAGGAAGGUGGGGAUGACGUCAAGUCAUCAUGGCCCUUACGAGUAGGGCUACACACGUGCUACAAUGGCGCAUACAAAGAGAAGCGACCUCGCGAGAGCAAGCGGACCUCAUAAAGUGCGUCGUAGUCCGGAUUGGAGUCUGCAACUCGACUCCAUGAAGUCGGAAUCGCUAGUAAUCGUAGAUCAGAAUGCUACGGUGAAUACGUUCCCGGGCCUUGUACACACCGCCCGUCACACCAUGGGAGUGGGUUGCAAAAGAAGUAGGUAGCUUAACCUUCGGGAGGGCGCUUACCACUUUGUGAUUCAUGACUGGGGUGAAGUGUAACAAGGUAACC
rnacentral:rRNA from 1 species